GAUGAACGCUGGCGGCGUGCCUAAUACAUGCAAGUCGAGCGAACGGACGAGAAGCUUGCUUCUCUGAUGUUAGCGGCGGACGGGUGAGUAACACGUGGAUAACCUACCUAUAAGACUGGGAUAACUUCGGGAAACCGGAGCUAAUACCGGAUAAUAUUUUGAACCGCAUGGUUCAAAAGUGAAAGACGGUCUUGCUGUCACUUAUAGAUGGAUCCGCGCUGCAUUAGCUAGUUGGUAAGGUAACGGCUUACCAAGGCAACGAUGCAUAGCCGACCUGAGAGGGUGGUCGGCCACACUGGAACUGAGACACGGUCCAGGCUCCUGCGGGAGGCAGCAGUAGGGAAUCUUCCGCAAUGGGCGAAAGCCUGACGGAGCAACGCCGCGUGAGUGAUGAAGGUCUUCGGAUCGUAAAACUCUGUUAUUAGGGAAGAACAUAUGUGUAAGUAACUGUGCACAUCUUGACGGUACCUAAUCAGAAAGCCACGGCUAACUACGUG
rnacentral:rRNA from 1 species